rnacentral:rRNA from 1 species
CCUACGGGAGGCAGCAGUGAGGAAUAUUGGUCAAUGGGCGGGAGCCUGAACCAGCCAAGCCGCGUGAGGGAAGAAGGUCCAGCGUAUCGUAAACUUCUUUUGUCAGGGAACAAAGUCCGGUACUUGUCCCCCGCUGCGGGUACCCGAAGAAUAAGGAUCGGCUAACUCCGUGCCAGCAGCCGCGGUAAUACGGAGGAUCCGAGCGUUAUCCGGAUUUAUUGGGUUUAAAGGGUGCGCAGGCGGCCUGUUAAGUCAGCGGUAAAAGCCCGGGGCUCAACCCCGGCGAGCCGUUGAAACUGGCAGGCUGGAGUUGGAGAGAAGUACGCGGAAUGCGCGGUGUAGCGGUGAAAUGCUUAGAUAUCGCGCAGAACCCCGAUUGCGAAGGCAGCGUGCCGGAUCCACACUGACGCUGAGGCACGAAAGCGUGGGUAUCGAACAGGAUUAGAUACCCUUGUAGUC